CAACAUCUUGUUCCCAGCUGAGCAGUCUUCCCCCAGAGCAUGCUGCUGAGAGCCCUGUUGCCAAGGAUGGGGCAUGCACAGCCUCUGUGCACAGCCUGGGCCAGUGCCCCACCACCCCCAGUGGAAAAGAGCAGCUUCCUUAGAUGCAGCUUCAAUCAACCUGCUGCAGUUGAAAGCCAUCCCCCCUUGUCCUGUCAGCACAGGCCCUGCUGAACACUCUGUCCCCUUCUUUCCUGCGGGACCCUUCCAGUCCUGCAGAGCCACAGUGAGGCCGCUCAGUGUCUCCUCUCUCCAGGCUGAGCAUCCCCAGCCCCACUUGCCCAGCAGUCAGUCACAUCAGGGCGAGUCAAGGCUGCAGGGUAGAAAAUAGCAUCAGGAACUGAGAGAUGCAAGCUUUAGACCCAGGUUUUUCUGUUUGAAAGGAAGCUUGGCAUAAUGUCCAUUGUCUUCUGCAUUUGUGAAACACCAAGCGGAGUCUGGGCAGGCUGAUGAUGCUGGGCAAAACCUGAAAAUAUACUAGUGAUCCUGAGCCUGGGGGAUUCAGCUAAACCCAGCCAAAAGCAAUUUCUGGAAAGCUGAUCCUGGUUUACAUUAUCUUGAGUUUGGCUUUGCCAACUUCACCAGUCAUUUAUGAAAAAGCAAACCAAAAACUCAAACCAAAACAGACAAAAACCCAAACAAACAAACAAACCCAUGCAUCAAACCAAUCAAAGAAAUAGAUAAAAAAAGCCAAAUAAAACCAAAGGAAAUGAA